rnacentral:rRNA from 1 species
CUUGGUCAUUUAGAGGAAGUAAAAGUCGUAACAAGGUUUCCGUAGGUGAACCUGCGGAAGGAUCAUUAUUGAUUUUUAAAGAUGUGCUGGCACUCCUUCACCGGUUUGCAUGUGCACUCUGCAAAAUCUCCUUCUCUUACCCCACUGUGCACACCCAAGUAGACAAAACCGAGUUACAGAGCAAUCUGUGUAAUUCCUGAUUUGCCUAUGUUUUUAUCAAACACCAAUAACCAUAUCAGAAUGAUCUAUAUAGUAAGCUUUUAACAAGCUGAAAUUUAAUACAACUUUCAACAAUGGAUCUCUUGGUUCUCGCAUCGAUGAAGAACGCAGCGAAUUGCGAUAUGUAAUGUGAAUUGCAGAAUUCAGUGAAUCAUCGAAUCUUUGAACGCACCUUGCACCCUCUGGCAUUCCGGAGGGUAUGCCUGUUUGAGUGUCAUUAAUCUCUCAACACAAGAAACUUUGUCUCCUUGUGCUUGGAUAUUGAAGGUUUUGCUGGCGCAAACAACUGUCAGCUCCUUUUAAAUGUAUUAGCAGAGCAGUAUAGGACUGGCCUCGGUUUGAUAAGAAACUUUAUCUAUGCUGUCGCUGGGUUUUCCUCUUUGUGCUCAGCUUCAAAUUGUCUUCGGACUGUCUCUUGAGGCAACAAAAUCUCUAUUGAUCGACCUCAAAUCAGGUAGGACUACCCGCUGAACUUAAGCAUAUCAAUAAGCGGAGGA